rnacentral:rRNA from 1 species
AACGAACGCUGGCGGCAUGCCUAACACAUGCAAGUCGAACGAGACCUUCGGGUCUAGUGGCGCACGGGUGCGUAACGCGUGGGAAUCUGCCCUUGGGUUCGGAAUAACAGUUAGAAAUGACUGCUAAUACCGGAUAAUGUCUUCGGACCAAAGAUUUAUCGCCCAGGGAUGAGCCCGCGUAGGAUUAGCUAGUUGGUGAGGUAAAGGCUCACCAAGGCGACGAUCCUUAGCUGGUCUGAGAGGAUGAUCAGCCACACUGGGACUGAGACACGGCCCAGACUCCUACGGAGGCAGCAGUGGGGAAUAUUGGACAAUGGGCGAAAGCCUGAUCCAGCAAUGCCGCGUGAGUGAUGAAGGCCUUAGGGUUGUAAAGCUCUUUUACCCGGGAUGAUAAUGACAGUACCGGAGAAUAAGCCCCGGCUAACUCCGUGCCAGCAGCCGCGGU